GUUAAUAGAGGAAUUUAACUUCAUUUCUUCCCGUCCCACGAUGAGAUGAAAUAAUAGAAAGGCAAUAUUUCAUUAAAACUUCAUGUUGCAAAAACAUUAGAUGGUUAUCCACUAUCAAAUUUAUUCAAGUUAUUUCUUGAAUGAUUCAAUAAACUUUAUCACUGAUUACACCUUCUCAAUUCACCCAGAAUAUUUAUCUCUCUUGAGAUAAGUGUAACCUACUUUUCAUGUAACAAGAGUGUUGAUGUGGACUGAGUUUACAUUGGGCUGCUGAGCAAUUAGAUAGGGAAAGACUGAUUUCACCAGAUGCAACAGAAGUAUCUGAUGAAUUUGUGGAACCAAAUUUCAACAACCAUACAAGUACUAGGUAAUAAAAAUAGAAUUAAACUGGUAAUAAUUAUUAUAAAUAUUCAGGGUAUCAAAAAAGUAAUAAGUAAUAUAUUGGUAAUAAUUACUAUAAAUAUUGUGGGUAUCAAACAAUAAGUGUAAAUCUAGUACUCAACCUUCUUUCAUAGAUUGUAUGUAUUUUGCAUCAUAUAAUCAUUGUUAUCAUUGAAAACAAUGAGCAAAUUUCAUUAAUUUUUUUUUCAAUUUUGAAAUCUUAAGUUUUCCACUAUCAAGUCACCUGUCAUGUUUUAACAGUUUCUUUAUUCAACUGUAAUCACAAUCUACCGAUUACAUCAGUGACAUUAUAGCCAUUCAUCAAAGGAUUUCAUGUUGAUUUUCAAAAUUUGCCCAUAACUAGAGAAUUUUGGUGACCAAAACGCGUUGUUGCUAGAUCAAAAGGCAGACUGAAAAAACGGUGGUAGUUUUACGAAAUGCUUUAUUUUUCAAUUCCUCUAGGGAGGACUUUAUCUGCAUAUUUUAAGAUGUCUUCUGUUGUUUCAUUUUUUCGGUAUCAAUUUUUAUGGUAGAUUUAGUAGUUCACUAAGUCAUACAGACCCUUAUAGUGGCUAAAUAUUCAGAUUGAUUGGUUAAUUAUUCAGAUUGAUUGGUUAAUAAAAGAAAUUUUUUACAUGGAUGAAGAUUCUGUAUUGUUCUCAUAAAAAGAAAUAAAGAAACAAAACAUAAACUUU